GAUCUGUAAUGAAUGCAGGAGAGACUCUCAGGUUGACACCACCCCUCACCUCUACCCAGGUAUGUCUAGGCCCCUCACUGCAGGGCUACAUGCUUGCUAGGAUUGGGGGUGGUAUUGGGUAAGACAUGCUGCUGUGGAUGGGACUCGCUGCUGGGUGAUGCCUUGACCCUGCAAUAAUACCUACUCAUGCACAGAGUACCUUGCCCCUCCUGUCUGAAAUUCCACCAUCACUGUUGCAUGUUUAAGAGCUAAGAGUUUUUCCUCUUUUUUCCAUGCUGGAUAUGUAGCCUACAUCAAAUAUUAGGGAAGCUGGUGGCAAAAUAAUAAGAACAAACACAUUUUUCGUACGAACAAACUCUUUAUCUCAUAAAGAUUCUGGAAGGUUGGCAGGGCAUUGACUUUAACUUCAGGAUACAAUUUGACACUUCAUCUUCCUCAACACAAACCUCUACACACUUCUGAUGGCUCUUUCACUGAGGCCACUCCUGGGCACUUAUCUGGGGAUGGACAGGGGGAAAGGAGGACCCACACAUCUAAGGGAUAAGUAGAGCCAGUGUUAAGAGAGACCUCAUGGCUGUCUGGGACACAGAGAAUGCCCUGUGAAGCCAGCCUGCAAGUGGUGGCUUAUUGGCCAAGCCAGCCUCUGAAGGGCAAAAAAUAUACAAGCUUUGUUGAGCAGACUGCCUGGAAAAGCUGGACCAUCUUGGCGAGAGUAUUUGCAAUGGAAGAGUAUCAGGGACAUCAGGAUCGAAGGGGUCAGGAGUCUGGCAGUGGCCGAUCAGACCCCUGGACACACUGAAAGGUAUUGGGUCAGAUGUAGGAUCCAAUGAAGGUAAUGAAGUCCAAGGGCUGGAAGAGGGAGGGCACUUCAGUUUAGCUUCCUCUGCAGCCUUACUGGAUAGCACUAGAUUUCCACUGAGCAACUAACUUCUUUCAUUUUUAUUCAUUCAACCAACAAAUAUUUACUGAAUACCUACCAUGUCCCAGGCACUUUGUUAGGAAUGAGCAAAACAGACACAAUUUCUGCCCUCAGAGAGCACUGUCUAGUGGGAAACAAGCAUUGGAGAAACAGUAACACAGGAGAAUAGAUUUACAAUGUGAUAAGUGUCACAAGAGAGGUGCAUGAAGUACCAGGGUCAUCUGACCUAGUCAGAGAGGUAAAAGGUGUCUCUGAGGUCUGAAGGAGGGGGGGAGGUAAUUAGCGAAUGCAGUGAGGCAUGGAGUGUGUGGUAGAGAAACCUCUGUAUUAACCAAAACCAUUUCUCUACCUCUAGCACAUGGAUUUUAUCUCCUAGCCUCCCAGGCAGCUACAUGUGGUCACAUGACCCAGUUCUAGCCAAUGCAACUUGGGCAGAAGUGGUAAAUGCUACUUCUAUGCACAGUCUGCACCCUCCUGUACCUCCUCUACUUUCUUCCCUUUACCACAGUCCCCCUGCUUGACCAUCUAACAGGAUACAUAGGAUCCAGUUGAGUAGUGUUAAGACCCUAUGAGAUGACAGAACAUAGCCAGAGGGCAUCUGGGUCUCUCAGUGAUCAUGUGGAAGGCCCACCUGCCAACCAGGAAUAUCCAAGAUGGACUUUGUAAAAGCAAGAAAUACACUUUUAUUGUGUUAAGUGAUUAAGAUGUUUAAGUUUGUUGCAGUAGCUAGUCUUACUUUAAUGCAGAGAGGAAGUGUCCUAUACAAAGAGAAAAAUGUGUGAAAGGCCUCAUAGCCUGCUGGAAGAGUUUAAAGAAGGCUAGUGUGACUAAAAGCAGAGAGAAAGAGGGCACCUGGUGCAAAAUGGGGCUGGAAAUGCAAGUAGGGGCCAAACAAAAGGUGGUUUAAGAUUUGGGUCCUUGGUGAACUCAUUAGAUGGAUUUUAGAAAUACGAGGACCUAAAUUUGACAAGACUUGGUGAUGAUGUAGAUAUUGGGGGGGGCGGAGGAUGGGGAGGUACAAAAGAGAGAAGUAUCAAAGGUGACAACUGGUUUUUGCCUUGAGUAACUGGAUGGAAGAUGAAGCUAUUCACUAAGGGAACAAUGAAAGAACAUACAAUUUGAAGAAAAAAUUUAUCAAUUUGCUUUGGGUAUGUGUAUGCUGGCGGUACCUUUGAGGCCUCCAGGUAGAAAUGUCAAAUAGGCAGUUGGAUACACUGGUCUGGAAUACAGAAGAGAGGUGGUCUGCAUUAGAGUUAGAAAUUUUUGAGUCACUGUUCAUGGGCCAGUGGCUAUCUGAAGUCAUCCCUAGGGAGACAGUAGGGAGUGAGAGGAAGGAAACUAGGAGUAGGCCUUGAGGGACUUUAACAUUUGAUCUUCUAGACCAGGGAUCAGCAAACCUUUUCUGUCAAAGACCAUAUAAUAAGUGUUUUAGGCAUUGCAGACCAUAUGGUUUCUGUUGCAGCUAUUCAAUUUUACUACUGUUGUACAAAAUCAGCCAUAGACAAUUCAUAAAUAGGUAUGGUGGCUUUUUUCCAAUACAAUUUUAUUUAUGGACCCUGAAAUCUGAAUUUCAUAUAAUUUUAACAUGUCAUGAAAUUUUAUCCUUGUUUUGAUUUUUUUCAAUCAUUAAAAAAUGUAAACACCACUCUUAGCAAACAGGCUGUACCAAAACCAGGAUUGGGCCCAUGGCCCAAAUCUGGCCCAUGAUCCAUUUACUAAAAUUUCAUUAGAAUACUACCUUUCUCUGGCUGGGCGCGGUGGCUCAGGCCUAUAAUCCCAACACUUCGGGAGGCCGAGGCAAGUGGAUCACAAGGUCAGGAGUUUGAGACCAGCCUGGCCAAUAUGGUGAAACCCCGUCUCUACUAAAAAAAAAAAAAAUACAAAACAACAACAACAAAACCCCACAAAAAUCAGCUGGGUGUGCUGGCGGGUGCCUGUAAUCCCAGCUCCUUGGGAGGCUGAGGCAGAAGAAUCACUUGAACCCAGGAGGUGGAGAUUGCAGUGAGCCAAGAUCAUGACACUGCACUCCAGCCUGGGCAACAGAGUGAGACUCUGUCUCAAAAAAAAAGAAAAAAGAAAAAAAAAUACUACCUUUCUCAUUUGUUGCCAUAUUGCCUUUUGUCCCACAAGGGCAGAGUUAAGUAGUUGCAACAGAGUAAAAUAUAAAAUUCUGCUGCCAUUAUCUAGACUUCAGAGAUAGAGGAUGAACCUAAAAAGGUGCCCAAUAUGUUUUGAUAAAUGACUAUAAUGGUGGUCAAAGUGGGUGUAGAGUCUCGUGUGUGCAAAUCAAGGGGUCAAGAGACAAUCACUAAAGAAUGGGAGAUGCAGAAUUUAAUCUUGUCAGGAUGCAAAAUUACAUUCACCCAAACCAGGUGAUUAAAAAGUUGAAGAAAAUUACAAUUAAAAAUUGAUAAAAAAUUGAAUGAUACUCAGGUCUUGUGUGUUGUAUUUUCUGUGAAAUUAAGGCCAGCUGAAAGGUAUGGGCUUAGGAUUCUGGCUGACACAGCAAGCGGAAAUCUGGCCAUGGGGCUAGCCUGUUCUCUCUCGGGUGAGCUGAAUGUUCUGGAGAUGCAUUCAGGUUCCAAUGAUAACUUUAAAUUUCUUCUCAAUCUCAUUGGAUUAAGGAGAGUGUAACAAUCUGUCACAUUUAGGAACUAAGUAUUAAAGACCAAGUGAAAAUGAUUAUUUUACUUCUGACACAACAAUUUCUAGUGAAUAUUCUGAGUAAUUUUCUGAUGAAUAGUCUAGAUGUAUAAGUUCUGUUUAAAGGCAGAAUUUAUUUUGAAGUUUGUAACUUUAAUAAAUUGAAUAUUAAUUUCAACACAGCUGUAUUAUUUGACAUGAUUAAAACAUCAUUCAUGGGGUCGGGCGUGGUGGCUCACGCCUGUAAUCCUAGCACUUUGGGAGGCUGAGGCAGGUGGAUCACGAGGUCAGGAGUUCAAGACCAGCCUGGCCAAUAUGGUGAAACCCUGUCUCUGAUAAAAAACAAAAAUUAGCCAGGCGUGGUAGCGGGUGCCUGUAAUUCCAGCUACUUGGGAGGCUGAGGCAGGAGAAUUGCUUGAACCCGGGAGGCGGAGGCUGCAGUGAGCCAAGAUCGCACCACUGCACCAGCCUGGGCCACAGAGCGAAACUCCAUCUGAACAACAACAACAACAACAACAACAACAAAAAUCAUUCAUUCAUCUAACAAACUUAUUGAGCACCUAUCAUGUAUCAGGUAAUAUUCUAGAUAAUGAGCAUAUAAGAUGUAAGCAAAACAAAGUCCUAGUGCUAAAAAACAAAAGCACAUUCUGGUAAUAGAUAUGUGACAAUAGACAAAAAGAUAUAAUAUGUUAGGUGGUAACUAUCAUAAAGUAAAAUACCAUUUAAAAACUCAGGUGCAAACAUAGAAAAAUGGAAAGAGUGCUACUCCAACCUUAAGAAAACUACUGAAUAAUCUAUAAAAUCAUAACUUUUCUUGAGUCCAAUAGAGAGUUAACAUCCCAGGACAAUCAUGUGGCCUGAAAUCUAAGGAAAUACUGGCACCUCCAAGGAGAGAUGGGACACAGACACUGGCCUGCCUGUGGCAGAAUGUGACAGAUGCAAGUGCCACACAAGCACUUAAGAAGAAAUCAGGUGAUAAGUUGCAAAAGGGCAGAGAGGCCAAGUCUCUUUCCACAGCUGUAUAUCUACUGCCUACCACAGAGCCUGGCACAUGGUAAGUGCUAAAUAAAUAUCUGUGACUGAAGAGAUUGACUCCUGCCUUGGCCUGAACUCCUUCCACUUUCCCCACCCUGAGAAUUCCUGAGCCCAUGUACCUGUAAUGCAGGGAAUUGAAUGGAGGGUUGGUUUUUAGGCCAGAGCAACUUGCAUCCCACCUUCCCAUCUGUGCCCCUGAGUAAACAGGAGAGGAGCAGAAAGUCACCUUGUUGUAGGCCAGGCUAAGGUAUCUCAGCUCUGGGAAGGGUGGGGCCAGCGUCUGGUUCCUGGCCUUCAGUGACUUCACAGGAAGGAUCUCGAAUAUGGGAGGAAGUGAACAUAUCUUGGUUGUCUUAGAAAGAAGGAAAAGUCAAAAUCAAAGUGCCCGAUAAUAAGGCCACUAAGGGCCAACAGACCCUUUCAAUGGAACAGGGUGGAAUGAAUGACCUUCCUAGAGAGACUUGGCCAAAAGAGACAUGUAGGGUCAUAAGGGUAGAUGUCGCCAUCAGCCCAGAAUUCUGGCUCCAAGUUCUCUUAGGAGAAUUAGCUUACAUGAUGAGCUAAUUCUCAAGCACCCAAAGUUCCAUUUUCAAGUUUUCUGAGGCCACAGGAUAAUAUAGCACUGGUGCAGACAUCAGAGGUACUUGGUCCCCACCCCCUCCCUCUGCCCUACAGCAGCUUACCCUGAAUUGGCCCUUCUACACAGUUGGGCUAAAAUUUCUCCAGAAGGCAAAGGGGAAGGUGCUUGUGUUCUUAAGGGGAAUUUUUCUAGUGAGGAGAGGGAGAGGGAGGUGUCUUGAGCCUUGAACACCUGCUCUGAUGGGCUAGCCCACAUCCUCGAGUGGAGGGUCUUCAUUUGAGGAUGAAACAACAGUCCUAAACGACUUCAGCCUGCCCGUGGGAGCCGAAUGUGGCAUGCUGCAUCUGGAUCCCUUGCAGGGUCAUGUUCUUUUCAUACAACCCAGACUGCCACAGGUUCAACAUAUUUGAUCAAGCAGAAAAAGGUAAUUGUUGGUUUAACUAUACAUAACUCAGUACACUCACUGAUUCCUGAGUUCGAUGGGACCACAGGAUAUUAUAAGGGUAGAUGCUGGGCUAAUGGUUAGGUUCAGAUGAACUAGAUUCCAUCUUAAGCUGAAUUAAUUAAUCACUAUGGAAUCUUGAGCAAGUCACUUAAAUUUUGCUUGUUCAUUCAGUGAACAUUUUUGGGGCACUUACUUUGAGCCAAGUAUUUUGUACCCUUCUGGGUCAACUUGUAAAACCACACAAGUGGACAGGUCAGUCAUGGGUGAGAAUAAAACAAAAACCAGCGACUGUGUUUGGGAACUCAGAUGACUCGCCUCUCCCAGUGAUCCCAAGGCAAUCUCUGAGACGCAAGAGUGGAACAUGGUGGCGGUCUGAUAAGGCAGUAUCCUCCACUAUGUAAUUCCCUACUUGGAGCAAGGCUGUGUGAACUGAAGGGGGUAAGUCAUACUGCAGUACAGAAAAGGAAAAGCCAGAGAGUCAAGAUGAGGAGUAUCCUGACCCAAGGGCAUAACUGGCCCUGAUGGGGGCAGAGAGGGCCCUGUCUUGGAGGGAAAUGCAUCUGAUUUUAAUAGAGAAAGGCCACUAAAAGUCUCAACUAUCCAACUCACUUUCUAGAUUUUCAGAUGUCAGAGAGCUGAUCUGAGCACUGAGCAAUCCUACAAAUUAUCUCUGACUUGUGUGGUAGACUGUUUAAUGGCCACAAGCCCCUCCAUCCCACAUACAUGCCCUUUUGCAGUGUGACCUUGCUGCUCCUCCCAUUCAGAGGUGGAGACCAUGUGUCUACCCUCCUGAAAUUAGACUGGCUGUUACAUAAGAAAAAAUUUGUCUGGUCUUUGUCUCAGGUUCCUGGCACUGAGCUUCUAAAACCCUUGGAAUUUUCUGAGUGAUAGGAAUAUCUUUAUUAUGCAGGACCCCUUGAGUCACACCUGAGUUUAGGAUAAUGACAUGACUCAGGAUGGAGGCUGGCCAUGCCAGAAAGACUAACCAUGUGACUAGAGAGUUGGGGCUUUGCACCAGCAUGACCCCUGGGGAGGAUAAGGAACUAGAAAUUAAGUUCAAUCAGGUGGCCAAUGAGCCUCCAAUAAAAGCUCUGGACUCUGAGGUGUGGGUGAGCUUCCUGGUUGGUGAGCACAUCAAUGUGCUGGGAGGGAGACCUGCCCUGAUUCCACAGGGAGGGGGCAUGAAAGCUCUCAGACCUCACCUUAUAUGCCUUUUCAUUUGGCUGGUCCUGAUUCGUGUCAUUUAUAGCUGGGGUCCCCAACCCUCAAGCCACAAACCGGUGCCAGUCCCUGGCUUGUUGGGAACUGGGCCACACAGCAGGAAGUGAGCAGUGGGUGAGUGAGCGAAACAUCAUCUGUAUUUACAGCCACUCCCCGUUGCUCAAAUUACUGCCUGAGCUGCACCUCCUGUCGGAUCAGCAGUGGCAUUAGAUUCUCAUAGGAGCACAAACCCUAUUGUGAACUGGGCAUGCAAGGGAUCUAGGUUGUGUGCUCGUUUUGAGAAUCUAAUGCCUGAUGGUCUGUCACUGUCUUCCAUCACCCCAAGAUGGGACCAUCUAAUUGCACAAAAACAAGCUCAAGGCUCCCACUGAUUCUACACUGUGGUGAGUCGUAUAAUUAUUUCAUUAUAUAUUACAAUGUAAUAAUAACAAAUAAAGUACAUAAUAAAUGUAAUGCACUUUCAUCAUCCGAAACCACCCACCCCACCCCAGUCCAUGGAAAAAUUGUCUUCCACAAAACUGGUCCCUGGAGCCAAAAAGGUUGGGGACUGCUGUAUUAUAGUAAAACUGUGAUUGUAAGUAUAACCCUUUCCUGAGUUUGAGUUGUUCUAGAAAAUUACUGAACCUGAGUGGGUUGUGGAAACUCUUGAAUUUAUCACCAGUUGGUCAAAGUGUGAUAGCCUGGGGACUCCCAAACUUGUGGCUGGCCUCUGAAGUGAGGGAAAUCUUUUUGGGAACUACCCUCACUUGUGGGCUUUGUGCUUAACUUGUGGGGUCUGCACAAACUGAGGGGUCAGCGUCAGAAUAGUACAGCAGUAUAAUACGGGGCUUUUGACUUGCUUUGACCAAUAGAAUAUGGAGAAGUGACACUAUUUCAAUUUCAGAACUUUUCAAUUCACCCUUGCUCUCUUGAAACCCUGAUGCUGUAAUGAAACCAUACUGCAGUGUAGCCCAGGAGGAAAAGACCACAAAGAGAGAAGAUGCCAAGCCAUGCCAGCUGUGUACCUGAGCCCAGCCUGCAGCUACCCUGCCAGCUAAAUGCAGCUGUGUAAGUGAGCCUUGGUGAAGCCAGUGGAAUCACUUCGUCGACUCAAUUGUCCUUGAUUUCCUCAGCCAUGAGAUAACAAACCUCGGGUAUCACCCCCAACAAUGAGGCCACUUCAUUGUGGGGCCCAUCUGGGAUCCAAGGUAGAUUCAUCAGAAGGGAAUAGAAAGGAUCUCCCUUUCCCCGGCAGUGAGCAUCUCUCUCUCCCCACUUGGUCUGGAGAUCACAUGGCAUUUCAAGGUCUACAGCACCACCUAGUGGAAUAGAAAUCCUCUCCAUGAGGUACCUUGUCAGCCCUUUGCCUAAACACUCUAGUUUUCCAAUUCUCCUCCCCUUUUGUACUCCUCUACUAGAGGCCAGGCUUUAUGCUCCUUCUGUGAAUGGGAAAACUCAACAAUGAGGAGGAAAAUGUCCUCCAAAACCAAAUUUUAGUUUUGAUAUUGUCCCAUCAGCAGGAAAACCACCAUUCAGUUCCUACAUUCUUUUAAGGCACCUAUUCUGCCUCUCAUUAAAAUGGUACUUAAAUAGUAAGGGGACGUAAUGUCUUAAAGUUAACCAGAACCACUGCCUAACAAUAAAUAUUUUAGUCCAGGCCAUAAUAGCAAUAUAGAGCUCAACCCAGUACACUCUCUCCAUUAAGGGGCCUUGCAAAUACAACUGUUACAUAGUCUUUCCCAAGAGCCAUCUAUCAGGUAGCCACAUAGAUCACAGAAGUUAGGAAGUCAAAGGGAAAUCACCAGUGGAGGAUUAGAGUUGCAUGGGUGAGUGUGACUAAAUCCAUCCCUUAGCUUCUCUAGAUGCAUGCCUGAGGGACAUGCCUGCAUCCAAGAGUAGCACCUUUUAACAGAUGCCGAGGCUCAGGGAACCAAGAAGGGAAAACAGUUGGGGGAUGCUCCCAUUGUCUUCCUGUCUACCUUGGGCCAUUCUAAAGGAAGGAGGGGAAUAAGGGACUCCUUGUCUCCCCUAGCUUUCUAGCCAUCUUUAGCCUG